rnacentral:lncRNA from 1 species
AUGACUUACUUUCAGUCCUCAGGCUCAUGUUCAGUACAGUUUUCUUCCCAGCAUGGUGAGUGGAAGACUCGCAGAUUAAAUCACCACAGAGCCAAUCAAACGUAUCCCUGGACCCACUUCAGCCUUUUCCAUCUCUCACACUAUCAACAGCCCCAAGAACAGCUGAGAGAACACCUGGGAGAACCAGAUACCUUGGAAGCUGCCACAUCCCAUGAGCUCCCAAUCGUCAGAAGCACUAUUGAAAUCAUUCAAAGGGAAAAGAAGAGUGACCUUAAUAGUGCUGAAGGAUGCUUUGCAGCAGAUGCACCGAUAUUCAAUACCGGUGAGGUUCUUCCUUCCCCAGAGGCAACAGAACUUACCUGAG